CUUAUGAAGUUGUAUUGGAAAAAGUGGUGUAAAAUCUCAUCAUAUUUUAGUAUACGGUCCAUUAUUGACUGGUCAUAUUACAAACAACGACUUAGCUCUGUUGUACCGAAGAUCAUUACCAUUCCUGCAGCGAUGCAGAAGGUACGCUGUUUCUUAUAAACAUUCGAUGAAGUAUUGCACUUCUUUGGCAUGUAAGCGUUAGUUUACUUUCAAAAUUGUCUGUCUUUUUUUCUUUCUCAGGUAUCAAACCCUAUUCCAAGAGUAGUUCAUCCUCAUUGGUUGUACAAGAAGGUUCGUGAAAAAGAGGACAAAAUGAGGCAAAGAAAAGUAGACGACAUUUUUCGUUCAGUGAACAAAGUAAAUAGCGAUGACCAGAAAUCUUGAUCCUCGGUCUUCUUCCCCAUUUCUAUGCGGUAUUCAGCAACAAGUAGUUUCAGUGACAUGAAGGUUGCAAGCAUUGUCCUGCUAAAGGGUGGAGCUCCUCCCAAGUUUUCUCAGAGGACUCAACUGGUAACCGAGAGUUACCAAGUCGUUUGAUCGAUGUUUUUGUCAUUCAGAGUGAAUCUACCAGUCCUUGGCUUCUGAAUUUUAUCUACAUAAACACGCUUUUUGUUCAUCUUUUAAUCAUCAUAUGAUAAUAUAUAUUUUCGAAUUUUAAUCGAGUAACCCUAGAAACCUAACUAAGUCUGUGGGCUCAUAGUCUAAUAGACAGGUAAUACUGUUAUAUUUUGGUGAAAGUGAAUUGUCGUGUAUAGAGAAUAUUGUUAUUCUAACACCAAAGGAUCUAUUUGAUUUUUAUAACACGUAGUCGAUCAUGUGAAAUAUUCCAGCAUCUGACAUUAUUGAAUCAUGCUCUGUAGCUAGGGAUUUUAACGUAACAAGAAUGGCACGCAAGAAGAUCUGAGAAUUUGAUUCAAAGAGGCUGGUGAAGGAGCAUUUUAAAUGGAUGUCUGGUUCCGAAUUGGCUAUUAAAUCAGCAUAGGUGGAUAUGACAAAGAAGAGAAAGCAGCUUAGGCUUAUGAUAUGGCUGCACUCAACUACUGGGGCACUUCUGCCACCACCAACUUUCCGGUGACCACAACCAUUAUCGCAGGUAUUUUUCAUGUUCUUGCAGCCACGGAAGGUGAAGGUGUUGUUCAGAUGACAUCAGUGGUUGUGGAAGUUGAAGAGAAUAAGAGUGCCAAAGAGAAGAAUGAGAUGAGUUCUGCUGUGAAUGAAGUUGCAGAUAUUAAAGGAGUUAUGAAUAUGAAUAUGAAUAAAAUCUUGAUGCACGUAUUGUGCUGCCUCUGAUUAUAGAUUUAAAGAACAUCAAAUAUGAUAGUUGGAGUUCAAAUUUCAUCCUGCUUGUAUAGAAAUGACACUAGAGGAGGCUAAACAUAUAUAGCUUAUGUAAUGGUCUUGGUAGACUUAUUUCUUGCAAAACCACAAUCUUUAAACUUAGGGUUGCAUCUCAAAGGAAACGGGAACAACUCGGAAUCUUAUACAAAAAGAUCGUGUGCUUACUGCUGAAUUUUCUUUUAUAUGAAACGCUACUUGAAUGAAAAGUAGUUUGUUCUUUGUUUGGUAAUGUCUUUGAAAUUGGUGAUCGUAGGUAUAUCUAAUCAGAUUAGUGAAAGGCUUCACUAAUCUCAACAUAACUAUUUUCCUAAAUGACCCAUUUUGUUACCAUGCCCGACCAGGUAUAAGUUAAUAUAUUCUCAAUUUCAAAAUUUUAAUGACUAUGUCAAAAGUAGUAUUCUAACAAAAUUAGGAACUUUUAUAUGAGAGUUAAGACAUGAGUGUUUUACCACGCAUCGGUGCUCUAAGAGAGAUAGCAUUCCCAUCCUUUUCUUCUUUUAAUCAUUUUAUGAGUCUGUAUAUGAAUCUAGAAUACUUUCUUAUAGAAAGUUAGGUAGACGUUAUUUGUUAUAUAUUAUGUUUAUAUAGAAAAAGUAUAUCAUUUCUUUAGUCAUGCAUGAAUUUUAUUUUGCUGCGUUUCAAUUCUAGGGAUCUACAACUGAUCAUGAUAGAGCUCUAGAAGACAUGUAGAGAAUGUCAUUUCUUUUGAUAAAGUCACAUCUAUUUCAGGUGUUCUAUAUACACUUCUAAAAGAAGAAAGACGAGUCGGUAUACCAAGAGAGCUACUAAGGGUAUUCAGGUUUACAAUGGUAUACCUUUACAAUGAGCUACAAAAGUGCCACUUAUGAUUACGUUUGAUGUCGAAGGUCUGCCAAAGUGAUCCUCUGCUGAUGAAGACAAAAUCGGAAGAAGCAAAGGUGUGCUAUGGCUUAACACAUGUUAAAGACCAAGAAAUGAUAUUCAACAGAUGUUGUUGCUCAGCAAAGGUUAACAAUGUAACAAUGCUUAGGCUAAUAGCAGAUGUUAGGAGUUUAUUAUGCUGUUUGAUCAUAGUUAAUGUUUGUUGAAAGUCAAGUUGCAUUGCAUGUAUUGAUUUUUUUCAAAGUAAAUAUUUUAACUUUGUUAGUAUAUUCAUUUGAUGUUUUACAACUUCUGUAUCGAAGUUUAAUAAGCACAUUUGCAACAGAUAUGAACA